rnacentral:rRNA from 13 species
UUACAUCUCUUCACGAGGAUCAAUUGGAGGGCAAGCCUGGUGCCAGCAGCCGCGGUAAUUCCAGCUCCAAUAGCGUAUAUUAAAGUUGUUGCAGUUAAAAAGCUCGUAGUUGAAUUUCUGAUAGAAGGGAGCGGUUCCGCAUUCUUGCGGAUACUGGCUCGUCUUCCGUCAUCCUUGGGCUUAGUCUCGCUGAUAUUAACUUAUCGGCGUGUACGAUGCCCAUCGUUUACUGUGAGCAAAUUAGAGUGUUCAAAGCAGGCAUUUUGCCAUUGAAUAUAUUAGCAUGGAAUAAUAAGAUAGGAUUUCACGAUUUUAUUUUGUUGGUUUGCGUUGUGAAAUAAUGAUUAAGAGGGACAGUUGUGGGUAUUCGUAUUCAGAUGUCAGAGGUGAAAUUCUUAGAUUAUCGGAAGACGAACGACUGCGAAAGCAUUUACCAAGGAUGUUUUCAUUAAUCAAGAACGAAAGUUAGGGGAUCGAAGAUGAUUAGAUACCAUCGUAGUCUUAACCAUAAA